rnacentral:rRNA from 1 species
CAGUCGCCACGGUAAUACGUAGGGUGCAAGCGUUAAUCGGAAUUACUGGGCGUAAAGCGUGCGCAGGCGGUUCGCUAAGACAGAUGUGAAAUCCCCGGGCUUAACCUGGGAACUGCAUUUGUGUCUGGCGGGCUAGAGUAUGGCAGAGGGGGGUAGAAUUCCACGUGUAGCAGUGAAAUGCGUAGAGACGUGGAGGAAUACCGAUGGCGAAGGCAGCCCCCUGGGCCAAUACUGACGCUCAUGCACGAAAGCGUGGGGAGCAAACAGGAUUAGAUACCCGGGUAGUCCCUGUCUCUUAUAC